ACACAUGCAGUCGUACGAGAGUUUUUAACUCUAGUGGCGGACGGGUGAGUAACACGUGAGAAUUUACCUUUAGGAGGGGGAUAACAAUCGGAAACGAAUGCUAAUACCCCAUAUGCUUUCGAGUGAAAUGGAUUUAUAUUUAUCCGCCUAGAGAGAAGCUCGCGGCUGAUUAGCUUGUUGGUAAGGUAAGAGCUUACCAAGGCGACGAUCAGUAUCUGGUUUGAGAGGACGAUCAGACACACUGGAACUGAGACACGGUCCAGACUCCUACGGGAGGCAGCAGUGGGGAAUUUUCCGCAAUGGGCGAAAGCCUGACGGAGCAAUACCGCGUGAGGGAAGACUGCCUAUGGGUUGUAAACCUCUUUUUUCAGGGAGGAAUAAAAUGACGUGUACCUGAAGAAUAAGCAUCGGCUAACUCCGUGCCAGCAGCCGCGGUAAGACGGAGGAUGCAAGUGUUAUCCGGAAUCACUGGGCGUAAAGCGUCUGUAGGUGGUUUGAUAAGUCAACUGUUAAAUCUUGAGGCUCAACUUCAAAAUCGCAGUCGAAACUAUUAGACUAGAGUAUAGUAGAGGUAAAGGGAAUUUCCAGUGGAGCGGUGAAAUGCGUAGAUAUUGGAAAGAACACCGAUGGCGAAAGCACUUUACUGGGCUAUUACUAACACUCAGAGACGAAAGCUAGGGUAGCAAAUGGGAUUAGAUACCCCAGUAGUCCUAGCCGUAAACUAUGGAUACUAGAUGUUGAACAGAUCGACCUGUGCAGUAUCAAAGCUAACGCGUUAAGUAUCCCGCCUGGGAAGUAUGCACGCAAGUGUGAAACUCAAAGGAAUUGACGGGGGCCCGCACAAGCGGUGGAGCAUGUGGUUUAAUUCGAUGCAACGCGAAGAACCUUACCAGGGUUUGACAUGAUACGAAUUUCUUUGAAAGAAGAAAGUGCCGUUUGGAGCGUAUACACAGGUGGUGCAUGGCUGUCGUCAGCU
rnacentral:rRNA from 1 species